rfam:Thermotalea metallivorans strain B2-1 AN619_contig000034, whole genome shotgun sequence.
GACCCAUUAGCUCAGUAGGUAGAGCACUUGACUUUUAAUCAAGGUGUCCCGCGUUCGAGCCGCGGAUGGGUCA